UACGGGGGGGGUAAGCGUUGUUCGGAAUUACUGGGCAUAAAGGGCUCGUAGGCGGCCAACUAAGUCAGACGUGAAAUCCCUCAGCUUAACUGGGGAACUGCGUCUGAUACUGGAUGGCUUGGAUUCGGGAGAGGAAUGCGGAAUUCCAGGUGUAGCGGUGAAAUGCGUAGAUAUCUGGAGGAACACCGGUGGCGAAGGCGGCAUUCUGGACCGACAUUGACGCUGAGGAGCGAAAGCCAGGGGAGCAAACGGG
rnacentral:rRNA from 1 species